rnacentral:rRNA from 1 species
UACAGAGGUCUCAAGCGUUGUUCGGAUUCAUUGGGCGUAAAGGGUGCGUAGGUGGCGGGGUAAGUCUGGUGUGAAAUCUCGGAGCUCAACUCCGAAACUGCACUGGAUACUGCCUUGCUUGAGUACUGGAGAGGAGAUUGGAAUUUACGGUGUAGCAGUGAAAUGCGUAGAUAUCGUAAGGAAGACCAGUGGCGAAGGCGGGUCUCUGGACAGUUCCUGACACUGAGGCACGAAGGCCAGGGGAGCAAACGGG